rnacentral:tRNA from 1 species
GAAGGUAUAACUCAGCGGUAGAAUACAUGCUUAGCAUGCAUGAGGUCCUGGGUUCAAUCCCCAGUACCUCCA